rnacentral:rRNA from 1 species
UACGGGGGGGGCAAGCGUUGUUCGGAAUUACUGGGCGUAAAGGGCUCGUAGGCGGCCAACUAAGUCAGACGUGAAAUCCCUCGGCUUAACCGGGGAACUGCGUCUGAUACUGGAUGGCUUGAAUCCGGGAGAGGGAUGCGGAAUUCCAGGUGUAGCGGUGAAAUGCGUAGAUAUCUGGAGGAACACCGGUGGCGAAGGCGGCAUCCUGGACUGGCAUUGACGCUGAGGAGCGAAAGCCAGGGGAGCAAACGGG